GCACAGUAUCAGUUUAUUACCACAAAGUUAACAGAGACUCACUAAAUUGCUUAACAGAACCAUUUUCUAGAAAGCACUAGUUACAUAAAUACUGAAACAGGUGACAGGAUAAGCAUUUUGUACGAUGUACUUUUAGCUCUCCAUAGGUUUGUUUGGUAUAAAGCAACUAUAAUUUGGCUCUGACAUGGACGAUUAUUGGUAGUUCUCAAGGCUCUCCUGGGGGGGGGGAUCGCCCUGACUGGACCUUUUCCUGACACCCCUUGGGCAGUUCAGACACAUCCAUCUGUGGACACUCUGGAAACAGCGACCAGCUGAAUGCCACUUUUCAGCAAAUGAAAACUGAAAGCAAAAAGCAGGCUAACAAAAAGCUCUGCCAGUUGGCUCAGCUUCCAACUGAGUGGCUGUCUGAGCGAGGAUCCAACAGCCGCCAGACUCAGACUCAAGAGUCCCAGGAAAACGGGAAGACAGUUUCUACGCUCUGAGCUGCACCGUGGUUGGCCCGGGUUCAGCAUGAACAAGACAUUCAGAUUCACUGGGGGAGCUGGGACCUUCUGAUUUAUAAACAAAAUGACCAAGCAGGGCAGGGAGACAGUGAAAACACUUCAAGCUUUAGUGAAAGCAGUAAAAGCUGUCCUGUUUGUCUGCUGCUACUCCUGAUCUCUUCAGCUGGCCUCCCAGAGGAAUGUCAUGGCAGGAAGCAACACUCCCUGGUCUUGUGGCAAAUAUUCUGAAGGCAUGCUACAAAGCAGAGCUCUGCUGGGCUGGCAGUCUCUGCACAGCGUUUUUUAUUGUAUCUGAUUCACUGUUAAUUUUUCUCAAAGACACAUUUUGGAUUGUGUGAGGGUAUGCUCACUCUUCCAGGCAGGCAGAUUAUUUUAAUGCUAUGACACAAGAGAUAAUGACUGUCGGAAUUUUUCAGAAGACCUUUUUAUGCCAUUAGUAGGGGGGUUUCCUUGAAGGUCAAAGAUCUGUACAUCUCAAAGUAAUGCAAGUAGGGAGAUGAACCAGCUCGGGAGGUCUGGGUCAAGUGUCUGUUUACAAAGGCACGGACAAUGACCAUGGAUGCAGGAGGAAUGAAUCCAGUGGAAGUGAGCACACCUGACAGUUCAACAAGAACAUACUAUUUUAUAAAAGUACUAGACAAAGUUAAUUUUAAAAAAGGUGUACAAUCAUUAAACAGAUGGUCAGGCCAGUCCUUGUGUCUCCUCUCGGGGGAGGGCUGUCCUGGGAACGCUGAG